GCGGGGGGCGCGCCGGCUGCCUUCGGAGCCCCGCGACCCGCGUCCUGCAAAGGCCGCAGGGCCCUGUCGAGAAGACCCGACUGCGAAUGGCGGGGAGGAUGCUCCCGGCGGCGCGGGAACCGGGUCUGACUGCCGAGCCACCGCCGCUUCCGCAGGGGCGCCGGCCCCGGGAAAGUCAAGUCAUAAAUCCCCGAAUCUAAAACUCCAUCCUCAGAGAAAAGGCCUCCAAGGACGGGCACCGUGCGCGGCAACUGCCUGCAGUUUUGAAGCCCUUUGACUAUUUCAUAACAAAGACAAGGCCGGGCCGCUUGGACCCUUAGGAAAAUCCUGGGGCUUUGCAAAAACAACAGGUUAAUCUAGUCGUGUGGGAUGAUCACCAAAACAAGACAGGAAAGAAGAACACCGUGUCAAUGCUGAAAAGCCAGCCCCUGUGAGCCCCAAAGUGCACGUUUUCCACAGUCCCAAGGAACACGUGACUGUGUUUCCACACUUGGGAAGUCAGGACGAGACCCCUUGGAUAAUGGAACAGGGGAUGGGGGUGGGAGCAGGCACCCUACCUGGUCACCUGCUUAACUUAGAAACCAGCUUUUAAAACCUGUAACUGCAGUAUGAGCUACGAUCAAAUUUGCCUUAACGUUUUUUUUUUUUUUUUAAUGUUUUUAAUACCCAGAACACAGGGCUUCUACUCCAGGGUUUCCUCGCCAGGGAACCCCAAACACACAGGACCUGGAGAAGCCGGGUAGAGCUGGCUCCUGGCCCUGCGCUUGGGUGGUCGGCUGCCUUAAGAAGAACUGCACCCCAGAGACAGGCUCGCAGCUGCCGACCUUAUCCACUCGCCCUUCCUGCUGGGAGACUGAUGCCCACGGGGGACAGCUUGGGCUAAGGAUAACGUUUGCAAAACAAACCUUUGAAAACCCACAGCAACCUGUUUCCUAGAGCACACUCUUCAUCUCUCCACCCCCAAACUAGUCCCAACUCGGAUCCUCCUUUUCCUAUCCUCUUUCUCUUGCUCUCCCCUCUCCUAUUCACUUUUCCUCUCCUUUCCUCUUGAUUACUAUAAACAAAUGCUUUCCAAGUCUUACCGCCAUCAUAUGUGUACAUAUGCAACCCUUACUGUUACCAAUUUGUUGAAGUCAAGACAGGAGGAGGCAAAGUUUAAAAAUCAGAAGCAUUGCAGGAAAUGAAAAUGGAGUGAGUGUUGCCUGGGUAUCAUAAAUUUUUUUUUUUUUUUUUUUAACAGUUCCUCUACUUGGCUCUCCUCCAAAGGUACGCGGCCGCAGCAGGCAGGGGCUUGGCAGUGUGGGAGGAGACACUACAGAAGACAGGGAAGAACUACCAGGCCUUGGUUCAUCUCCACACUGGCGAGAGAGGACGUGCAGGAGGUAUCGGCUGCCAGAUAGGGAGCUGAGACUUCAAGAAGCUAAAUAAGGUGUCCAGCACCACAGAGCAUGGAGCAAAGGACACGGGACUCCAAAUCUUCCUAACUCAUGUGCUCAUCUGGCUAUCUCACCAGGGCCUUAAAUUUAAUAUAUCCCAAACUGAACUCAUCUUUAUCCCUUCCCACUUUGCACUCCUCCAAUGUCCUUGUUUAAAAUAGUUACCUUUAUCUUUCCUAACCCAGAAACUCAAAACCUGGCAUCAUCUUUGACUUCUCUUUUUACCUUCACAUUCAACAGUUUCCAAGACUUAAAGGCUUUAUUUGUAGGAUCUCUACCAUUGAUCCUCUACAGUUUCACACCUACAUCCCAUUCUCAUUCCCAAAUCCCCAUAACUUCUCUCCUGGCCCAUCCCUUAACACUGAAAUCCUGGCUUGGAAAAUAUGAUCACAUUCACAGCAGCUGUCCCCAAGAAGGAAGCCAAGGCAACAGUAUGCACAAUGAAGUGAGUCUUCACUGAUCUCUCCAUAUUUUGACAUUUUACAGCACUUAUUAUCUCUACUUUGUAUUUUGAAACUGAAUCCAAAAUAGUUUUGCAUUGUUGUUUAACAGUCAUGUAUGUAGAUUUUUUUUUUUGGUUUUUGGAGACAGAGUCUGGCUCUGUCACCCAGGCUAGAGUUCAGUGGCGUGAUUUCGGCUCACUGCAACCUCCGCCUUCUGGGUUCAAGCAGUUCUCGUGCCUUAGCCUCCUGAGUAGCUGGGAAUACAAGCAUACACCACCAUGCCCGGCUAAUUUAUUUUUAGUAGAGAUGGGGUUUCACCACGUUGCCCAGGCUGAUCUUGAACUCCUGAGCUCAGGCAAUCUGCCCACCUCAGCCUCCCAAAGUGGUGAGAUUACAGGCAUCAGCCACUGCACCCAGCCCCCCAAUGUGUGUAGAUAUUUAUCCACAUCCAGAAAUUAGGAAAAGCAGGAUGCAUUGAACCUUUGGUACCCAGCAGCAGGAGCCUGUGUGUCUUCUGUCUGGAGCACAAUCACAAGGACUGAGCAUCAGCAGCAUCCACUGUCCUUUCAGCUCCAAAUUUUAAACUCCCAUAAGAGAGACAUCAUUGGCCCAGCUUGGGUCACGUGUCCACCCCUUUAAUCAAUCAGCUUUGGCCAAGCAGCAGGUCAUCCGGGUCCAAACAUCACAGUUGGGGGCCUCACCUGUAAAUAGAGCUUGUUCCCAAAAAAGAGGGAGGCACACAUCAUUCAUUUGUUUAUUCAUUCAUUCAAUCAGCAAAUAGUUGAGCAUCUAUAGAAAUAUAUGCAAGGUUCUAUUAUGUAUGCAAAAUGUAUAAAACAUGGCCCUGCCCUCACACCAUGAAAGUUACCACAUAAAAAGAAGUCACCAGAUAAAAAAGCAUAACAGUAUUCAUAAGUACUCAUGAGUGACCAUCAAUUCAGUUACACAUGAUGGAAGAUAAUUCAUUAUACCUAGUAUAAGCCACUGGCGGUAAAAGUAGUUAGCAGCAAUGUGUACGUGAUCAACAAAAGCUCACAGCAGCACCAUUUACACAAAAACAGAAAAGUACCCAGAUGUCGAUCAGAGGUAGACCAGAUAAACAAAAUAUAAAAUAUAACACCACACAAUGGCUCACACCUGUAAUCCCAGUACUUUGGGAGGCUGAGGCGGGCAGAUCACUUGAGGUCACGAGUUUGAGACCAGCCUGAUCAACAUGGUGAAACCCCAUCUCUACUAAAAAUACAAAACUUAGCCAGGCACAUGCCUGUAAUCCCAGCUACUCAGGAGGCCGAGGCAAGAGAAUCGCUUGAACCUGGGAGGCCAAGGUUGCAGUGAGCCGAGAUCACACCACUGCACUCCAGCCUGGGUAAAAGAGCGAGACUCCAUCUCAAAAAAAAAGAAAAAAGUGUAUAUGUAUAGUGUAUGCAUGCACAGAAUACUUUACAGCAAUAAGAAUGAGUGUUCUACAAAUAUACACAAUAUUGCUGACUCUCCCAAACAAUGUUAGACAAAAGCAUCCAGACACACAAAAAUGUGUACAGUAUAUGAUUCCAUUGAUGGAAAGCUUAAAAACAGGCAAAAUUAAUUCACCCUUAUGGAGUCUUAAGUAAGGGGAACAAAAGGGGCCAUCUGGGCAGUGAUAAUGCUGUUUCUUGAGCUGGGUGCUGGGUUCACAGGUGUGUUCAGUUUGUCACAUUCAUCAAGCUUACACUUCUCAUACAUCUUCUUUUCUAUAUGUAUGUCAUCCUUCAAUAAAAAGUUUUUAAAAAAUAAAUAA
rnacentral:antisense_RNA from 1 species